rnacentral:rRNA from 1 species
GGAUUAGAUACCCUGGUAGUCCUAGCCGUAAACGAUGGGCACUAAGUAGGGGGGCUCCCAAGGCCUCUCUGCCGGAGCUAAUGUGUUAAGUGCCCCGCCUGGGGAGUAUGGUCGCAAGGCUAAAACUCAAAGGAAUUGACGGGGGCUCACACAAGCGGUGGAGCAUGUUGUUUAAUUCGAUGCAACGCGAAGAACCUUACCUGGGCUUGACAUGUACGUGGUACCAACCCGAAAGGUGCGGGACCUUCUUUGAAGGAGCGUACACAGGUAUUGCAUGGCUGUCGUCAGCUCGUGCCG